rnacentral:lncRNA from 1 species
CUAACAAUGGUUUUAAAAAAGUCUUGUUUAAGUCAGUAAGGAUGAAUAGUGCUACUAUUUAUAUUUAUUCAUAUGGAUAAGCCUUAGAGAGAAUCCUGUUUACUCAGAAAAUGAUAGAUUUGAGAUGCUUGUAAAAUAUAUAUGAGUUAUUAAGUAGAUAAUUGUAUAUUUAUACAACUAAAAAGGCAUUCAAAUAAUUUUUUGCUAUUAAACUCUUACUUUGAAUGUGCCAUGAAAAUGUUUAUUUUAUAUUUCUGAAAGUAUGUUUCCAGCAAUAUCUCCUAACCCUUUUAAAAGUCAGCUCCUAUCUUCUGGAUGAAGUAAAUGAUGCCAGAUUCAGUUCUGUUCUCCUUCUCUUUUUGGAAGCAUUAUAAUAUUAAUGACUUAAUUGUCAUACAUAUUUAUGUUUUAGAACCUAACUGGGGUCUGCUCUCCCAUCGGAGCAAAGCCAGUCACUGACAUUGGGAUAGCAAUGAGAGAAUGUGAGUCAUUUAUUGCAGGACACCAAGCAAGGAGUUAAGGCUGCUCAUGCUUAGGACUUGAACUCCUCAAUGGCUUGCAGAUAAGAGAUUUUAGAGAUAGGGGUACAUUUCAGGAGAGCAGAGGUUACAGGCAAAAUUGUAAAUCAAUUCAUGAAAGUUACACAUUGGUUUAGGCUAAAAAUCUGAACAGACGUUUCUUGAAGUGAGGAGUUUACAGGUUGUAGAUUGAUUCAAAGGUUUUCAGAUUUGCAACUGAUUCAGGAGGUGAGGUUUUGUCUAAAAAUUUGAGAUCAGCAGAAAAGAAUGUUAGCUCUAGCUCCUGGGUAGGACCUUCUUCAGGCCCCUCAGGAAGAAAUUUAGAACAAAGAACAGAGGUCGGAGUUCAGUCCUCACCUCCCCCUUUUCUGAGGCCUAAAUGCCAGUAGAUCCAUCUGGUGGGUUCCUGGUCGGAUGCCAGUUUCUGAAAGACAACUCAGGCACAUCUGUUAAGAUGUCAUCUUUAGUUUCCAUGGAAAAAGCAAACAUCUUCAGAGCUCUAACUUCUUUGAUUAUUGUCUUAAGCUACUAUUAUCUUCCUGUUUAAAAAACUAUUUAUUUACUUUUCUGCUAGCUAGAUUCCUGGAAUUUCCCUUGAAGAAACCAAGCAUUUUCCUUUAUGUCUAUGCUUGGGGGUCCAUAGUUCCCUAAAAAGAGGGUCCCUGCUCGUCUUACCUAUGUAAUAAAAGAAAAAAGUCCACACAUGUCAGAAACGGGUUUGGCAAUAACUCUCUUAGGUUGGUGCAAAAGUAAUUGCAGUUUUUGCCAUUAAAAGUAAUGGGAAAACUGCAAUUACUUUUGGACCAACCUAAUAUUCAUUUUUAAUCCAGUCGGCGGGUUGUGAACUAAAAAGAAAGACAGCAGUUUGAGCUCACAACCUGCUGAUAAACGUUUUUGCAGAGGAAAGGGUAAGAUAGAGAGAAAGUGAUUGUUGCACUGCUCAAUUGACCACAAAUGUAUAUUGCCCCAAAGAAUACAUCAGAAUCAAACCCACGGUGACUUUUUUGAAAUUUUACUUCGAUAUACCAUUGACAUAAACUGUAAUUGGAAAGCUACCAGUUUUUCUCCCAAAACAAAGCCAAAUAUGAGAACAACAAACUAACUAUAUUUGUGUACAGCAACUGUAGUGGUAUAGCUUCUCAAAUUCUUGAAGAAGGGUCUUAUGUUUAAUGAACAAGAAAUAUUUUCAAAGUUGGAAAUUACUCUCAUUUAAAGAGAAGGGUUCUCAUUUUCCCAUGAAUUUUCUCAUGAAACAGUAUGCUUUCCUAC